GUACUCACUUCAGUAGCACAUAUACUGGAAUUGGACCAGAGAUUAGCAUGGACCCUGCACAAAACUGACAUGAGAAUUAGCAAAGUGUUCUGUAUUUUC
ensembl:snRNA U6 U6 spliceosomal RNA